rnacentral:tmRNA from 1 species
GGGGGUAACUGGAUUUGACAGCACGUAGAAACGGUACGUAAGCAUGCAGAGCUUUGAUGUGCAAGCUCUAUAAUAACAACGCAUCGAACUAUAAUUGGCGAAAAUAACAAUUACGCUCUCGCUGCCUAAACCGAAGUAUAGUAAGUUGGCUUUAUUCGCCUCAAAGUGAGGUGAACGAGACAUCAUCCCAUUGUCCUGUUCCGAGACGCUUGGAUAAGAUGGUGCAGACUAAUUCGGAAAUAGAAUCUGCUUUAUCUCGCAGCAGGUUUGAAACUUAGAGGUUAAGAUUCAGAUUGGUCGCCACCGGCCUGUCUGGAUUCGAAAAUCAAACGGAUGGCUAAGCAUGUAGAAAGCCUAUCG